GUUGUUAUACCGAUGCCGUAUUGUACUUGCUAGAAAACCUGUUCGGUGCAGAAGUCCAUCUACAAGACAACUCUAUUUGCACAGGUAAGUUGUGUAGGCUUUUCUUACACACGAGUCACAGCCGGGGACAGCUCGCCUCUUGCUGGCUUCUCUUUGCCAUAUACGGAGGUCCAAGCUCCGAUCUUUCGGCCCUUUCUUUGAAGUUGUCAACUCGGGAUCUUUCAUUUCUGAGAUUUGUCAACUUUUUGGUCAAAACCCACCGUGAUUUUCGCCUGAAUAGUGAAAGAAGUUAGUGUCUCUGUACAAGCAUGAUGUCUUCAUUGAAGCAGCCAGUAGUACAUUUCCAUGGGUCCGAUGCUUUCCGGCCACAGUCUUCUGUACCGUCAAGGCGGUUCUCGGUUCUUCCGCCGCUUCCUGCACUUAAUACUCGUUGGAGUAGCUCUGUUGUUUCACUGUCAAAGCCCCUUUUUGUUUCCAAAGUUGAAUCUUUUUCUCCUUUAGGGACCCUGAAAAGAUCUUCUUCAACUGGUGACGCUGGCGAUAAUGAUCAUGUUCCGCAAAAGCGUGACUUGAUUAUAUGUAGGCUUAUGAGGCUGAUAAAUCAAUCCCAAUUGAUGACUCGCAAGCGCGAUCUGAGGCAGCGAGGAGGGUGAAAAUUGGGGUUUACUUUGCUACAUGGUGGACUUUGAAUGUGAUUUUCAAUAUAUAUAACAAGAAGGUUUUGAAUGCUUAUCCCUUUCCUUGGUUGACCUCAACGCUUUCAUUGGCUGCUGGCUCUCUGAUCAUGCUCAUUUCUUGGGCUUUAAGGAUUGCUGAGACUCCAAAGACCGAUCUCGACUUCUGGAAAGCCCUUUUCCCAGUUGCUGUUGCUCAUACGAUCGGGCAUGUGGCAGCGACUGUGAGUAUGUCAAAGGUAGCAGUCAUUUACUCAUAUAAUCAAGAGUGGUGAACCUGCGUUCAGUGUCCUGGUCUCAAGGUUCCUGUUGGGGGAGACAUUUCCGGUGCCAGUUUACUUGUCAUUGAUCCCAAUUAUUGGUGGUUGCGCACUGGCUGCUGUUACUGAGCUGAACUUCAACAUGGUUGGUUUUAUGGGGGCCAUGAUAUCGAACCUCGCUUUUGUUUUCCGGAACAUAUUUUCCAAGAGGGGCAUGAAAGGGAAGUCUGUUAGCGGAAUGAACUACUAUGCUUGCUUGUCUAUGAUGUCUCUCUUAAUUCUCACACCAUUUGCUAUUGCUGUGGAGGGACCACAAGUGUGGGCACUUGGAUGGCAAAAGGCCGUCUCUGAAAUCGGACCCCAGUUGAUUUGGUGGAUGGCGGCUCAGAGUGUAUUCUAUCACCUCUAUAAUCAGGUGUCUUACAUGUCACUGGAUGAGAUCUCUCCUUUGACAUUUAGCGUUGGAAACACUAUGAAACGUAUAUCUGUUAUAGUGUCAUCCAUCAUUAUCUUCCAUACGCCUGUCCAGCCUGUCAAUGCUCUUGGAGCUGCCAUCGCCAUCCUUGGAACCUUCUUGUAUUCACAGGCAAAGCAAUGAGGAGCAACUUUUGAGUCCAACCAGGCAGCUUAACUUACAGUGGUGGUGAUUUCAAGUUUUGUUCUUCUUAAGGUGUUGAUAUGGCUUUCUUAUUGAGUUCCAUGAAGAAUGAGAACAAUCAGAUGAGCCAGUAGCUUUACAUGUAGAUAACAAUAAUUGUGAACUAAGAUACAUUAAAAUCUUAUACAGGUUAAUUAGGCAGGUAAUCCCUGUUAUUUGCAUGUUGAGGGGGAGAAUCAAGAACAGCACGAAUAAAUAGUGCAACAACUGUGCCCAUUUAAGGGACGAAAAUGUUGAUGAUUUGGAUCAUAUGCAGUCCAUUUCAGCCAUUAAAACCGGACCUAGUUUGUAUUCAUAGUACUAGUAUUGACAAUGGUUGUCUAUAGCUCUUUGGAAUUUAUGAUUCAGAGGGGAACUAUGCUUUGAUUUGUUGCCUAUCAACUUAAUUAGUCAAAAUCACCAAAAUUUUGGAUGUGCUGCU